UUUAAGUUGAGGAUGAUGUGACAACCCCGAAUUUCCAAGGUAAUUAUUGAAGGAACUUGGGAACUUGCCGUCUGAUGCUGCUGGAGUAGUCAUGGUCAUAAUAAACAAUUACAUUGCUUUGGUUUUGAUACAUUUAUACGCUCAUACAUUUAUGCUUCCGCUCAAUACUUUGGUUUUGGUUUAACUUUCGAACGAUACAUUUCUUUCAAUUGGGUAUUUCAGUACAUUAUAACCUGUGUUUGAUAUGAUUGGUGGCUCUUUGUUGGAUCGUUGCAUCCCCAUUAGGUGGAAAUUUGGGGGUGUGACAACUUAGAUCAUGUGAGUGGGUAGGCGGGAACUGAAGGCCAUUAGUCCUCAUUGUAGGACCGAGGGACAGUAGCGGUAGAUCUAUCUGGGUGUCGCGAGCCCAGCCCCAGGCCCAGCAGAACGGACCUCGGGGUGACUUUGUGCCCAACGCAAAAUCCGCUAGGUUUGAGUCUUCCUUCUGUACAUCACACAUAUCAAUGGCCUUGCAAACCAUUGGGAACUAAGGAUUCUGGCACGGUAUGAUAUGUUUUCACGCUGCAAUAGAGUUACGGGAUGAUCCACGUUUAGGGAUUGCGACUUUUACCUGGACGAGUCGCAAGUCUUAAACGGAGUUUAAUUUAAGUUUGUGGUUGUGUCUUUCAAACAAUAUUUUUAUGGUUUGUAAUUUCCCUUGCAUGUGUCAACACUUUGAAACAAUGUUGUUACCUUUGACUUUAAUGGAUGAUUCUGCAUGGUU
rnacentral:lncRNA from 1 species